GAGAAGAAAAGACACGGAAAAAAAAAGGAAAGGAUAAGCUUCCAAUGUACUUGCGUUCACCUUUCAUGGUUGAACAUGAAAAACUUUUCAAGAAUGUGGACAAUAGAAAGGUAGCUGAGUAUGCGUUUGCUCAAGGAGAUAAUAAGGAGCUUUUGUAUGCUGAUAACAUGGGGACAACGAUUACGAGAGAUGAGAUUCAUAGUCUCAUAGAAGAUAAGCACAUGUUGAACAAUGUUGUGGAUGCUUAUGUUUGCCUAUUGAAUUUUGAAAAUAAAAGACGUGGUGUAGACAAGAAGAGUAGAUUCUUUUUCACUACUGAAUGCUAUGUAUGUUUUCGAACUUAAAAUUAUAACUGUGUUCUAAGAGUAGAUUCUUUUUGUUUCUCAUAUAGAUUAUACUAUGCACCUAUGUUCUAAUUACUUAUGUUUUAAUUUCUUUUUCUUUUUCAGCUCAUACGUUGUACAAAAAAAAUACUUCAAAUCAAAUGAAAGGCAAGAUGAUAGAAUGAAGGCUUUGUUUGAUAGAAUGCAACAAGAAAUGACAACGGCCGAAGUAACAAGCUUCAAAAGCAUUCAAUUGGUAACUUGGUAUCUUAUUAUGUUGUACUUUUUUCUUAAUAUAUGUUCUAAUUAUUGGUUUUGUUUAUGUUCUAAUUAUUUUUAUCUAUGUUUUAAAGUAUCUACUUAUGUUCUAAACUACUUAUUUAUCUUCUAAACUACUUACUUAUGUUCUAAACUACAUGUU